rnacentral:rRNA from 1 species
AGAGUUUGAUCCUGGCUAAGGAUGAACGCUAGCGGCAGGCCUAAUACAUGCAAGUCGGACGGGAUUCCGUUAUAGCUUGCUAUAACGGAUGAGAGUGGCGCACGGGUGCGUAACGCGUGAGCAACCUGCCCAUGUCAGGGGGAUAGCCCGUUGAAAGACGGAUUAACACCGCAUAACACAUAACCACCGCAUGGUGUUUAUGUCAAAUAUUCAUAGGACAUGGAUGGGCUCGCGUGGCAUUAGCUAGUUGGUAAGGUAACGGCUUACCAAGGCAAUGAUGCCUAGGGGCUCUGAGAGGAGUGACCCCCACACUGGUACUGAGACACGGACCAGACUCCUACGGGAGGCAGCAGUAGGGAAUAUUGGUCAAUGGGCGGGAGCCUGAACCAGCCAUGCCGCGUACGGGAAGAAGGCCCUACGGGUCGUAAACCGCUUUUACACGGGAACAACCGCAGGUACGUGUACCUGCCUGAGUGUACCGUGGGAAUAAGGAUCGGCUAACUCCGUGCCAGCAGCCGCGGUAAUACGGAGGAUCCGAGCGUUAUCCGGAAUUAUUGGGUUUAAAGGGUGCGUAGGCGGCCUGUUAAGUCAGAGGUGAAAUACCGCGGCUCAACCGUUGCAGUGCCUUUGAAACUGACGGGCUUGAAUGUGACCGAAGGAGGCGGAACGGGACAAGUAGCGGUGAAAUGCAUAGAUAUGUCCCAGAACCCCGAUUGCGAAGGCAGCUUCCUAGAACAUAAUUGACGCUGAUGCACGAAAGCGUGGGGAUCGAACAGGAUUAGAUACCCUGGUAGUCCACGCCCUAAACGAUGAUGACUCGAUGUUAGCGAUAUACCGUUAGCGUCCAAGCGAAAGCGUUAAGUCAUCCACCUGGGGAGUACGGUCGCAAGACUGAAACUCAAAGGAAUUGACGGGGGCCCGCACAAGCGGAGGAGCAUGUGGUUUAAUUCGAUGAUACGCGAGGAACCUUACCCGGGCUUGAAAGUUAGCGACGGAUGCAGAGACGCAUCUUCCCUUCGGGGCGCGAAACUAGGUGCUGCAUGGCUGUCGUCAGCUCGUGCCGUGAGGUGUUGGGUUAAGUCCCGCAACGAGCGCAACCCCUAUGUUCAGUUGCCAUCGGGUGAUGCCGGGGACUCUGAACAGACUGCCAGCGUAAGCUGCGAGGAAGGUGGGGACGACGUCAAGUCAUCAUGGCCCUUACGUCCGGGGCUACACACGUGCUACAAUGGGCGGUACAGCGGGCAGCUACCUUGCAAAAGGAUGCGAAUCUCUCAAAGCCGCCCACAGUUCGGAUCGGGGCCUGCAACUCGGCCCCGUGAAGCUGGAUUCGCUAGUAAUCGCGUAUCAGCAAUGACGCGGUGAAUACGUUCCCGGGCCUUGUACACACCGCCCGUCAAGCCAUGAAAGCCGGGGGUGCCUAAAGCAUGUAACCGCAAGGAGCGUGUCAGGGCAAUACUGGUAAUUGGGGCUAAGUCGUAACAAGGUAACC